rnacentral:rRNA from 1 species
GAUGAACGCUGGCGGCGUGCCUAAUACAUGCAAGUCGAGCGAACGGACGAGAAGCUUGCUUCUCUGAUGUUGGCGGCGGACGGGUGAGUAACACGUGGAUAACCUACCUAUAAGACUGGGAUAACUUCGGGAAACCGGAGCUAAUACCGGAUAAUAUUUUGAACCGCAUGGUUCAAAAGUGAAAGACGGUCCUGCUGUCACUUAUAGAUGGAUCCGCGCUGCAUUAGCUAGUUGGUAAGGUAACGGCUUACCAAGGCAACGAUGCAUAGCCGACCUGAGAGGGUGAUCGGCCACACUGGGACUGAGACACGGUCCAGACUCCUACGGGAGGCAGCAGUAGGGAAUCUUCCGCAAAGGGCGAAAGCCUGACGGAGCAACGCCGCGUGAGUGAUGAAGGUCUUCGGAUCGUAAAACUCUGUUAUUAGGGAAGAACAUAUGUGUAAGUAACUGUGCACAUCUUGACGGUACCUAAUCAGAAAGCCACGGCUAACUACGUG